AAACACACCAACCCCAACAAGACCUGGAAGGCUGAGGGGUGCAGUAUAAAAAGCCCCUGGCACACACGGGCAGGCGACUGCCCCACCCUCGGUGGUGAGGCAUGGUGAUCUCACCUCUCCUCUCCUGGAACACAAACCCUGCCCUCUGAGACACCUACACCCCACACACUCAGAUUUUGCAAAAACUCGAGGACAACACGAUGCCAUGAUAAGUGGCCCUGCCUCCCCCAGAAGCCCUUGGCAUAGAAGCGGAGCCCCCAGGCAGCCUGGCACCAGCCAGUGGGAGGGGCAGGGAGGGAGGGCAGCCAGAGGGCAAAGGGGUGGCAUCCCCCUCAAGCCCCCUCCGCUACCAGGUACUGGGACCCACCACCUGGCAAGGACCACGCCGGGCAGGAGGAGACCAGGAGGCGACAGUCAGACAGAGAAGCUGAAGAAACCAGAAGGCGUCUGUGCAAGAGAGCCCCACACAGACACUGGAAAGAACCAGGGCAACCUGCAGACCAACUCGAAAGACCUCCCCUAGGGCGACGGAAAUGAGAUGAGGCAAACAGCUUCCCGACCAGAGCCCAUGCACCUUCCACGUCUGUGCAGGGAGCUCGGGGCCACAUCCCGAGAUGGGAAAGACAACUGAGGCUUCCACAAAGAAAUUACAAUGAAACAGACACUGGCCAGGCCAGCUGAAAAUCAGUGAUGGACUACGGUCCAAAUCAACGUGGAGGUUCCAACAAGAGAAGGACGGUGGUGGGGUCACCCUACCCCAGCCUGCGAGUGCCCCAGAGGGUGCACAAGCAGGACAGCCACCCUGUUGCAGAGUGUGGUGCUUUCACACCAUGUUCACCCCACCUCAGCCCUCUGGCCCAGACGUCGGUGGCUCCUCUGCCAGGUGAGGUGAGGUGAGGUGAGGUGGGAGCAGACAGUGGAGAAACACCACAAACAGCACAGGUGGUCGGCCAGGGCCACGAGCCCUUCAGCUCACCGAUGCCGAGACCCCACAAUCCCCACAACAAACCUGCAAGGUCAGAAUAAUUGCGCACGUGUACGGACGACUAAGCUGAGGCCCCUUCCUCCUUCACCUCCGGAAUGCCACCUGAGCGCAAAGGCUUUGGGACACAAAGCACUCAGCAGUCGGCAGUGGAGGCACAGCCCAGGAUCAAGACCCUGGGCUUCCUGUCCCAGGCUCCUCAACCUGCAGGCGGCCACACAGCAAGAAGACCCUGGGAAGUUAAAGAACGAGGCGCUCCUGCUUCCCCCACCCUCAACGGCCAGCAAGGACACAAAGGCAGCCCAGGGCAGGGCCAGCCGCCAGCCACAAGGCCCCUCCAGAACCCAAGGUCCAGUGGAGACUCUGAAAGGGCUGAUUGCAGGGCCCCCACGGGGUCCACACACCAGACACAGAGGCCCAUGCAGAAAGGCGGUAAGGGGCCCCCCUGGGGUCUGCACACCCGACACAGAGGCCCUGCGAGAGGGAGGCAUGGAGCGCCCGCGGUGUCGGCACACCAGGAUUCACAGCCCGGCUCUCCACCCCCAGCUGACCUCGCUGUGAAGAGAUGGUUUGUGCUGAGAGCUUAGCAAGGCCGUCGUCUACCGAGUGCUUCCCACCACAGCCCAUGCGCAGGCAUGAGAGUCAUGCCUCCCGCAGGCCACAGCUUCACUCAUGCAAGGACAUUCUGGGGGCCGGGACGUCCUAGCCAGUGGCUAGAACUGGGUGUGACCAUGGGCCCCCUUGGCUGGGGAGAAAAGGAGGUGCCCCUAGAUCCCAAGUCCCCUGGGGCCGCAGCAAAGGGAGGAGGACCUUGCAUCACUCCAGGGUGCCACGUGGACGAACAGAGGUAACAUUGGGAGUGUGGCUGGCAGUGUUGGACAUUCAGAACAUGUCUGCCCAAAACAAACAUGGCCUUCGCUUCUCCCAGCUCCCAGAAACAAAGUAAACAGAAGGAUCACGUCUGGACACCAGGGACCAGCCCCUGUUACAUCCCUGUCCCCCCCAGGCCAGAGCCUGACCACUCCGUGUCACCUGCCUCUACUCCUGUAGUGACUGUCAACUUUUUGGAUUUCAGAAAGCCAAACCAGCAAGGGAAGCCUUUUCCCGGGGGGUAGAGGUGUCUCUCCUACACACACCCCUACCCCAGGGUCUGAGAUGACAUCCCAAAUCAAACCCGGUAUUCUGCAGAGAUACACAAAGGUUCAAACUACAGACAGCCUUGUAUCAGCUGUAAAGGGGGGCCAGAUUUUGCUGCAAAAGAAAAAACCCAGUAUCCCCUCGCUCAGCCCACUGUGUCACCAAGAGGGAGGGUGGGCGGCUGGCCGAAGAGGGCUCCAUUUUAUAGUCCAGGAAGGGGUGGCCUGGGCCCCACAGCUGGUGGGGCAGUGGCACUGGAUCUGAAGCAAAGCUGGGCACUGGAGGCUGUGCCUUGGGCCGGUGUGCUGGCAGCGCCUGCUGGAGGAGCCAAGGGGCACUGAUUCAACACUGACUGUAUUUCCGGAACCAGAGUUAGUAUUGGGGGUAUG
rnacentral:lncRNA from 1 species